GUCUACGGCCAUACCACCCUGAACACACCCGAUCUCGUCUGGUCUCGGAAGCUAAGCAGGGUCGGGCCUGGUUAGUACUUGGAUGGGAGAAAUUCUCUGUUAUGAGAAUUCGGGUAGCAAAAAAUA
rnacentral:rRNA from 1 species